rnacentral:lncRNA from 1 species
AAAAAUUUUAUAAUAAAAAAAAAGUAUCCCAACAUAUACAAAAGAUAUAACCGGUCGGUUAUACUAUUUAUUAAAAAAAAAUUGAUUAAAAAUCAAGGUUGCAACAUGAGUGGUAGAUCUUGUUACAAUUAGGGAAAUGACACGGCCCCACUCAACAAAUUAAUAUACAGAUGAAAUUAGGUUCAUUUACUAGUGCUCUGUCACUUGCAAUGUAACAAGUUUCAUUUUAUUUGUCUGUCAUGGGUAUGACUCAUAUGAGUUAUAAGUGUUAAUUGUGAGGAUCAGGGAUAAAAC